GAGAAAUACAAUACUAUGCUGAGUUUUUGUUCUCUGGGGAAGUGUUUACAACUUAAAGCAGCUGUUCCUAACUUGGUGUCUUCCACUUAUGUUGGACUGUGUGCACAAAACUCUUCAUUCCCAGCUAACAUGUCUGAGUGUAUCUGGAAGGAUGGCAAGUUUGACUGAAACCUUGAACAAGAUUUCUCCUACUAGCAGGCUUGGCCACUUCCCCCUUCAGUCCUGAAGAAAGCUUCCAGAAGUGCUUAGAAUGGGAACAUAAUUAUUUAAUCAUCUCUGGAAAUUCAGAAAGCAUCAUGGGAACUCAAGGUGCCUUACACAGUUCUCCUGUUCAUCUCAUCCUCACAGAAACAACCCCGUGAGAUAUAUGUACUUUUGAAAUUCCUUCUUAUCAGAGAGGCGGACCUGGAAAAAUAACUACAGCAGGAAUGCAACUGGCAUGGUGGACACAGAGAACCAUAUAGGAGAAACUAUGCUAUGAUGUAGUGCCUGGAUCAUAUUGGAGCAAGAUACAAAAAAAAUGUGCAUGUUGGUAAAUUCUUAUCAAAACGGAACUGAACUGGAAUCUCACCUAUCCCGAAUCAGGAAAUUCAACACAAAGCCUGUAGAAAGUUGGAAAUUGAUGGCCUAGACAUAAGUAUUGUUGACUGACUUCACAAGAGUUGCAUCAAACGUGCUUUUCCUAAAUCACACUGGCUGUGUAGGAGCUGCCUGUGGCAUUCAGGAGACUCCUUCUAAAGACAUCUCUCCAAAUGUUGGGGAUAGUGAUGGGGCAGUGGGAUAUUAAUUAUGUGAGAGGAUGCUCAAAUAUGGCAUGGUGUUUUUUGCACAACAGGACAAAUCAGCAGGUAAUUAACUAAUGUAUAUUUAACAUCUGGUUUGCUUUUUUUGGGGGGUGGGGGAAGGAGAAAAAUGGUUACUGUGGAUAUCCAAGCACUACUGCCUAUCAGGAGCCAUU